GUAGGCCUUACCAUGCAAGUUCGUACGAAAAUUCUAACUCAAGUGGCGGACGGGUGAGUAACACGUAAGAAUUUGCCUUUAGGAGGGGGACAACAAUCGGAAACGGCUGCUAAUACCCCAUAUGCUUUCGAGUGAAAUGGAUUUUCCGCCUAGAGAGAAGCUUGCGGCUGAUUAGCUUGUUGGUAGAGUAAUAGCCUACCAAGGCGACGAUCAGUAUCUGGUUUGAGAGGACGAUCAGACACACUGGAACUGAGACACGGUCCAGACUCUUACGGGAGGCAGCAGUAGGGAAUUUUCCGCAAUGGGCGAAAGCCUGACGGAGCAAUACCGCGUGAGGGAUGACUGCCUAUGGGUUGUAAACCUCUUUUUUCAGGGAGGAAUAAAUGACGUGUACCUGAAGAAUAAGCAUCGGCUAACUCCGUGCCAGCAGCCGCGGUAAGACGGAGGAUGCGAGUGUUAUCCGGAAUCACUGGGCGUAAAGCGUCUGUAGGUGGUCAAAUAAGUCAACUGUUAAAUCUUGAGGCUCAACCUCAAAAUCGCAGUCGAAACUAUUAGACUAGAGUAUAGUAGAGGUAAAGGGAAUUUCCAGUGGAGCGGUGAAAUGCGUAGAGAUUGGAAAGAACACCGAUGGCGAAGGCACUUUACUGGGCUAUUACUGACACUCAGAGACGAAAGCUAGGGUAGCAAAUGGGAUUAGAUACCCCAGUAGUCCUAGCCGUAAACAAUGGAUACUAGGUGUUGAACAGAUCGACCUGU
rnacentral:rRNA from 1 species